rnacentral:rRNA from 1 species
AUUGAACGCUGGCGGCAUGCCUUACACAUGCAAGUCGAACGGUAACAGGUUAAGCUGACGAGUGGCGAACGGGUGAGUAAUGUAUCGGAACGUGCCCAGUCGUGGGGGAUAACUACUCGAAAGAGUGGCUAAUACCGCAUACGACCUGAGGGUGAAAGCGGGGGACCGUAAGGCCUCGCGCGAUUGGAGCGGCCGAUAUCAGAUUAGCUAGUUGGUGGGGUAAAAGCCCACCAAGGCGACGAUCUGUAGCUGGUCUGAGAGGACGACCAGCCACCCUGGGACUGGGACACGGCCCAGACUCCUACGGGAGGCAGCAGUGGGGAAUUUUGGACAAUGGACGCAAGUCUGAUCCAGCCAUGCCGCGUGCGGGAAGAAGGCCUUCGGGUUGUAAACCGCUUUUGUCAGGGAAGAAACGAGUUUCUCUAAUACAGAGACUUAAUGACGGUACCUGAAGAAUAAGCACCGGCUAACUACGUGCCAGCAGCCGCCGCAGUAA